AUUGAACGCUAGCGGGAUGCCUUACACAUGCAAGUCGAACGGAGUGGCGAACGGGUGAGUAACACGUGGGGAUCUGCCUUGCACUCUGGGAUAAGCUUGGGAAACUGGGUCUAAUACCGGAUAGUGCAAGAUGAGCUCGCGGCCUAUCAGCUGGUGGAGGGGUUAAUGGCCUACCAAGGGGUCGACGGGUAGCCGGCCUGAGAGGACAACGAGCCACACUGGCACUGAGACACGGCCCAGACUCCUACGGGAGGCAGCAGUGGGGAAUUUUGGACAAUGGGGGAAACCCUGAUCCAGCCAUCCCGCGUGUGGGAUGAAGGCCUUCGGGUUUUAAAGCACUUUGUGCAGGAAAGCGGUACCUGCAGAAUAAGCACCGGCUAACUACGUGCCAGCCGCCGCGGUAAUAC
rnacentral:rRNA from 1 species